rnacentral:lncRNA from 1 species
CCAAGUAGUGUUUGUUUCUUCUACCAAGCUGCCGCUCACAUUCUGAUGAGUUGCUUGUUCUCCAUUUCAGUAUCUGAGAUGCAAUAAAUGCAAAGCUAUAGGAGUACGUCGUGUAUACAGCUUUUGAUCCGCAGCUCACACAUUUCCAUCUUUUGCAGCGGAUGUUGCGGAAAUUUGCUCUAGCGGCCGUGCACCUUCAGAGUGUAAGCUUUGAAACUGUAAGCUUUGAUGUUUCCAAGGCAA